ensembl:lncRNA
CUUUAGUACUUAAUCCUACUUACUGUACCUACCUUGACAUUCCCAAAUUCUUAUCUCUGUCUACUCAGCUCAGGAAGAUUGCUGGGGUCUGUCUGUUUUGCCUGUUACUGCACUGAAGCCUGCAAACUCUAUCCAGGAAGUAAACUUGGAAAAUUAUAGAACUCAACUUGUUUCCCUUUAUAACAGAUUAAACAACUGAGGCACAAAAAUGCAUCUUGCCUAGGAACAUACAGCUAGUAAGUGCCGGAUCCAGGAUUUAAGCUCAGCUGGUCUGACUCCAGAAUGCCUGCUUUUAACUGCUGCUUUUUUUGCCUGUAAACUCUGGCGUAUUACGCUUCUCACCUUCAAUUUCUUCAUUUGUAAAAUGGAGAAAUAAAUGCCUACGGAAGUUCAAAGAAUGAAUAAAAUAAAAGACGCUCUCUCUA